rnacentral:rRNA from 1 species
UUACCAGCUUGACAUCAACGAAAAUGUUCGCAACAGGUGCUGCAUGGCCGUCGUCAGCUCGUGUCGUGAGAUGUUUGGUUAAGUCCAGCAACGAGCGCAACCCUGUGACUGUUGCCAGCGUACGGGACUCUGUCAGACUGCCCAGAUCAAUGGGAGGAAGGUGGGGACGACGUCAGGUCAGUAUGGCCCUUACGCUGGGCUGCACACGUACUACAAUGCAGCACAUGAGCCACCGCGAGGGGAGGAAUCUAUAACUGGCCCAGUUCGGAUUGGAGACUGCAACUCGUCUCCAUGAAGUCGGAAUCGCUAGUAAUGCCGAUCAGCACGCGGCGUGAAUACGUUCCCGGGUCUUGUACACACCGCCCGUCACAUCAUGGAAGCCGGCGACCGAA